rnacentral:rRNA from 1 species
UACAGAGGGGGCUAGCGUUGUUCGGAAUUACUGGGCGUAAAGAGCGCGUAGGCGGUCUACCAAGUUGGAAGUGAAAUCCCGAGGCUUAACCUCGGAACUGCUUUCAAAACUGGUAAACUAGAGAUCAGUAGAGGAUGGUGGAAUUCCUAGUGUAGAGGUGAAAUUCUUAGAUAUUAGGAGGAACACCGGUGGCGAAGGCGGCCAUCUGGGCUGCAUCUGACGCUGAGGCGCGAAAGCGUGGGGAG